GGGGAGAUUCCCGAGCGGUCAAAGGGGGCAGACUGUAAAUCUGCUGCGCAAGCUUCGUGGGUUCGAAUCCCUCUCUCCCCA
rnacentral:tRNA from 1 species